rnacentral:tRNA from 1 species
AGAGGCCAAGGCUCAGAGUCGGCGCAUCUGCUUCGCAUGCAGAAGGUCCCGGGUUCAAUCUCCGGGGUCUCCA